rnacentral:tRNA from 1 species
GGGGAAGUUCCAGAGCGGUCAAAUGGGGCAGACUGUAAAUCUGUUGCUUCGGCUUCGGUGGUUCGAAUCCGCCCUUCCCCACCA